UCAGAAUGGCUGCUUGCCUCCCUUGUCUUUUAGUAUGCCUGUCGAAGCUCUUUGGUUUUUACAUGGCAUGUCCCUGGUGUAGCCCUUCUCCCCCGUGCUCCACACCAUCUUUGCAUAGAUGUUUAUGUUUCCAUGGCUGCCUGCACAGAUUCUAUUCUCCACAGGCCAAUAAAGUCCACUCCAUCCUAUGUACUCCAGGUUAGAGCAUUUGGGGCAUUGACUUGCCAUGAUCAGCUGAACUGUCAAGCUCACCACAUUGAUCAAACAGGAAACUGGAAGUCAAAAGUUCCCAGGGUGUCAUGAGGGGAAGAACUAUUUCCUGUGUACAUGGCUGCUGUGCUCCAAGUAAGUUAGGUCAAGGGAAGAGACCUGUUAGCGGAGACACAUACAUUAUGAGGCCAGUGUAAGGGGGCUUCCAUUAACUUAAGUUUAUAGUGUAGAGGCCUGAGAGGAGCAUUUGGCCUUCAGAUUCUUUACGACUCAUGAUGAUGCACAAGACAAGAAAACAGCUUAACUUUCAGAUCAGAUUGAGAUUGUAGGCCUCACAGAAUCCCUUUCCUGAGCACAUUUUAUAUGAAAGUUGUGGAUACUACAAAUUUAGAAGCCCACAGUGCACUUUUCAAAACAGCUGCUUGCCUGCUCCUUUAGAGCAGAGCUGCACUUUCACACUUCUCUUUUUCAUCAUUUCUGUAUUCAGCUUUAGUUAAAAUAGCAGAACUACUAAGAGAAGUGAGGUCUUCUUGGUCAUUUACAUACAGCUACGGUUUUUUAGAUGUAUAUUAUAUUGCACAUAGGCUUCCAGUAUUAAGGGAAUGAUGAACAUUACUGAUUUUUUUUAUUAGAGAUGGACGGAAUAUUUGGAAAAAAAUUAUAUACAAACACAAGCCUUGCUGAAUUCCCUUAAAUGAACUCUGCUAUGAAAAACUGUUUUGAGAUCUGAGAAAGUACAGUUACACAGAAGCAGAUAGAGAGUAGAAGACUGAAGAUGGAAGUACAGCCUGGAAUCCUAAAAUGGAUAAUGAGCCAUGACAAUGGAGUAAGUGAUUAAUCUCAGACAAAUUGCUUUGCUGACAAAAAGUCAGAUUGCUUAUCCAAGGCGCAAAUACAUGAGGCAGGAUUGAGAAGAAAAGGAUUGGGAUCUCAAAGAGAUUUGAUCGCUGUCAUCUCAACAACAGGUGACACCACCUGCCAUUCCAGUCUAGAAUCACCUCACAACUGUUUUUCCUGAAGCAUGAAAUCCCUUGCACAGGACUCUCACAGAAGCUUGCUGCUUCCAAAGGACAGGACGCAUCAGACUGCUCACUUGGCUGAGGACUCACACUUCGUUUUAAUACACAGCACUCAGAUGGUUUUGUGAUAAAACAAGAGAAUACAGAAAAGUAGGACUGUGCUACAUUGUUCCAAAUGAAAGGGCUCACAGCAGAAAAAUAUCUUGCAAAUCCAGAGGCUUGGCUUUCAGAGAGCUAAGAAAAGGUAAGGAUGAGAAAAAGUUAUGUUGGGCAAAAGACUAAAUAUGGCUUCCCCUGCUUGGUCUGGUUUAAAGAACAAGGGCUAAAUAGGCAUCAUUAGGUGUCUCUUC